GCCCCGCCCACUCCCGCGCCGCACCAACCGCGUCAGGAGGGAGCCGCCAUUUUGGCUCCGCACCGCCCCCUCAGGUGGCGCUCUGUGGUGCUCUGUGGCGCCUCGGGCUGCGCUGAGGCUGCGCUCCGCUAGGCGGUCUGUCCCGAAUUCGAUACAUUAUGUGGAAUGGGAACCUGGACUACCUCUUGCACAAAGCUGUUGAGGAAAAGCAUAUGAGAUGCUUCCGAGUUUUCAUGGGGGCAUUUUGUGAGAUUUCUGGAACUGGAAGCCAAACACUACUGCCAACUCCGCAGCCACAGGGCACUCCCAAGAUAGGCUGACGUUCUCUUUGUUCCAUUCACAGCGUUGGAUUUAUGGGAUCAGUGUGGGAAGGACUGACUUGAUGGACCGAACAGGAUUCAGUGCUGAACCUACAGAUGUGCAUUUACUGGAGGGCUCACAGAAGGUGAUUCCAGCAGAUGCCAGCUGUGAGCUUCCUGCUAUUGUAAGGUUGUACAGCCAAGGAAUGCUGAGUCAGGUGGAAGUGAAAAAUAACUCCAGGCUGUCCGGGCAUCCAGAAGCCCUGAGGAUUUCACAAGUACCACAGGCUGAGGAUGUUUGUGGACUAAACAACUGCAGCACUUGCAUCAAAUGAGAAAAGUAGUUUUCCUCCUUCAGAGUAACAGGUAAACGAUAAAGCAAUUUAAGCACUGCCAUGGUAACGGUGUUUGGAGACAAAAACUGUUUAAAACUUCCAUGUUUAUGUCACAUAGCUUUGUGAACUUGUUAAUAAAACAUCUCUGCACAUAUCCUCCCCCACCCACCACAUGACUUUUGUCAUCGGAAAGCAUAAAACCAGCAGUUCUACAUCUGCUCUCAGGAACAAGAGGGAUGCUGAUGUAUUCUGAAUACUGAUUCAACUUUGGAAACUGAAGUUCAGUACUAAGUGGAAGAGACUUAACCCUUACUUAGAAAAAGAGGAUUAUUUUCCUCUCACACAUCUGAAAAAUGAAACUCGCCCAUACUAUUUCUCCUUUCAGCAUUUCUUUUCAGAUACUUAAUCUUACCCAGUUCAGAGCUGCAAUAUCCUUUUCAGAGUCUCUGUCCAGGGCUGGUUUCCUUCCCAGACACAAUACCACUGCAACUGUGCUGCAGCAUUACUAAUAUCAUAGACUUAAGUCACUUCAGCUCCCGAUUCCCGAGUCACCUUUUUUCUUUAUAGUAAAUUCAACAUCUCUCAGAGCAGACACUGCUCCUUCCCAGGAGCUCUCUCACUGGGUGGGAGAAGCCCCUGCCCCAUCACAGCCCCCUGUGCCUUACAUGCACACCUCUGUCUUCCACCUGCCUCAGGUCUGUUUGCUUCCCUUGCACUCCCCUCCUGCUGUAUAUUUCUUCAUUGUGAGCUACUGCAGCCCUGGCCACAAGCCUUUUUGUGGGGCUGAACUUCAAGACACUGAUUUGAAAUUCUGAUUUGAUUCUCACCCCCUGGGAGAACGGUGGUUGCUUAUGUCAGGGGAUUUUGUUUCUACUGCUCUGUAAAGCUUAGUGCUAAGCCUCAGCAGGGAGUGUGAAGAUAUGCCACCUCCACGCACACGGAGCACCAAAUGUGUGUUCCUUAAACACACCAACGAGCUCAGGAAACAGCUGCAGAGAGCUGAUUGCAGAACCCAGCCAAGCUAAAUGAACAGCCACUACCUGACACAAGCUCUUCUCCAGUUGACAAAGGCAAUCUAAGCCUACUACAUACAGUUCCAAUGGCAGUUCAGACACAGGAAAUUUAAUUCGGGCAUGCUAUAAAUGGCACUACAUGCUCAUUCUUUAUCUUGGUCUUCAAUCUGUUCCUCCAGUAAAACCUUGGAAAUAUUUAUUUCACUGCUAUAUUAAGCCAAGAGGACGAUAUGUACAGGCUCAUGAGUCUAUAUGCAUGCUGUUUUACCACACUGCAAGCUCUAAGGUGACAUUUUCCACAGUAUCCUGAAGUCCAGAAGAAAACAACGUUUGCGUGUAGGCCACGUACAGUUUUUGAGGAAAGUAGAGUUCCCUACAUCAGUGCCAUCUUUGAUAUUUUCCUGAGGCUUUAGGAUUAAAUACAGCUAACCUUGCUGUGAAGCUGUCCCACUCUGGGCUUUUUCAUAUUUAAAUGCUCCAGAGAGAUUCAAGAUGUAGUAAGCCUAUUCCAUGGCCCCUGCAAGAUCAACUGUAUUUUACAGCUUGUAUAAAAGUUCGGAAGGGUCUUAACAAACAGACUACUCACCCUGCUAGGUUCAAACCCAGCUGCAGGUGCAUGCUACAUAGAAAAGAAUAUCAUGUCCAGCCAUCACCCCAUCCCCACUAUGUCCACUGACCACAUCCCUCAGCGCCUCAUCUCCACAGUUUUUGAACACCUCCAGGCACAUUGACUACAC